rnacentral:rRNA from 1 species
AUGGCCGCCGCCGCGACCGCCACCGCCGUCCGCCUCCACGCGGCCGCCACGCGCCGCGCCGCCCCGCGCCGGCCGGCGCGCUUCGCGGUGCGCGCGGACGCCGCGCGGGCGGCGACGGCGCUGACGCAGGACGACCUCAAGAGGCUCGCGGCGGUGCGCGCGGUGGAGCAGGUGCAGAGCGGCAUGGUCCUGGGGCUCGGGACGGGGUCCACGGCCGCCUUCGCCGUCGCCGAGAUCGGCGCGCUCCUCGCCAGCGGGAAGCUCUCCGGCAUCGUCGGCGUGCCCACCUCCAAGCGCACCUUCGAGCAGGCCAUGUCGCUCGGGAUCCCGCUCUCCACGCUCGACGACCACCCCGUCAUCGACCUCGCCAUCGACGGCGCCGACGAGGUCGACCCAGAUCUUAACCUUGUCAAAGGGCGGGGUGGAGCCCUGCUCCGGGAGAAGAUGGUCGAGGCCGCGUCAGCAAAGUUUGUCGUCGUCGUCGAUGAGACGAAGCUGGUCGCCGGCCUGGGAGGGAGCGGCCUCGCCAUGCCGGUGGAGGUCGUGCAGUUCUGCUGGAAGCACAACCAAGUAAGGCUGCAGGGUCUGUUCAACGAAGAAGGCUGCGAGGCGAAGCUGAGACUGAAUGAGGAUGGCAAGCCCUAUGUUACUGACAACUCGAACUACAUUGUCGAUUUAUACUUCAAGACGCCGAUCAGGGACGCGCUGGGCGCGGGCAAGGAGAUUGCGGCUUUGGAAGGAGUUGUUGAGCAUGGCUUGUUUUUGAACAUGGCAACUUCAGUGAUCAUUGCCGGAUCGGACGGCGUCAGUGUCAAAACAAAGUGA